AUUGAACGCUGGCGGCAGGCCUAACACAUGCAAGUCGAACGGUAGCACAGAGAGCUUGCUCUCGGGUGACGAGUGGCGGACGGGUGAGUAAUGUCUGGGAAACUGCCCGAUGGCGGGGGAUAACUACUGGAAACGGUAGCUAAUACCGCAUAACGUCUUCGGACCAAAGUGGGGGACCUUCCGUCCUCACACCAUCGGAUGUGCCCAGAUGGGAUUAGCUAGUAGGUGGGGUAAUGGCUCACCUAGGCGACGAUCCCUAGCUGGUCUGAGAGGAUGACCAGCCACACUGGAACUGAGACACGGUCCAGACUCCUACGGGAGGCAGCAGUGGGGAAUAUUGCACAAUGGGCGCAAGCCUGAUGCAGCCAUGCCGCGUGUAUGAAGAAGGCCUUCGGGUUGUAAAGUACUUUCAGCGGGGAGGAAGGCGAUGAGGUUAAUAACCGCAUCGAUUGACGUUACCCGCAGAAGAAGCACCGGCUAACUCCGUG
rnacentral:rRNA from 1 species